ACUACUAUUCGUCUGGCCAGCAGGGGGCAUCACAGGCUCGUUCGCGGUGACGGGGUUUUGCGUCCACGGCUUGCAAGGACCGGAAUUGCAAUCGCUCGGUCUGCAUUCCGUUUCUACUUGGAAGCAGAAUUAAGAGUGUGUCCUCUGGAUGGGCUUGCCUGAGCGUGACUCCUGCCUUCGUGGCACAUAUCCCAGCUCCUCUGCAUCCUGUGCCAUCUGCAAAGUGGAGGCUCACCGAGAAUCUUCUCUGCAACUGAGGAAAUAUAAUAAACAGUGCUGCAGACUUUUAUCUGGAGGAAAAUCUUCACCAGUCUCCACAGAACAAAACUGAAAAAUCUGUUGGUACAGCCUGCCCUUUGCAGCAGAAGAGAGAAGCAGACAGGAAAGGCUGCAGCUGUUUAGCUACUUCUGUGAAUCCCUGUGCUCUCUCAAGUCUUAUACUCAGUGGGUUGACAAUAUCAUGGGCAUCUUGCAGAUUAUAUCAAAAAACAAAGAAAAAUUUGCUCUACUUUGGGGAAAAAGAAAAGGCAACUGGAAGCCCAUGAUUUAUCAGAAGACAGCCAAAGUGCUGAGGCAUUACUAGAGGACAAGGGAGAUACCAACAUCCAGAGAAAGCUGAUGUAGCAGUGUAGUGAGAUUCUCCUUCAUUUCCAAGGUAUGGACUCUUCUACUCACACUGUGUCCAGCUUGCUCUGGAAUACCUCAGAUUAAGCCACAAGGAUGCAAAUUAUUAUGUAUAUGCCCACUACUAUGAACUAAGCUACCCCAACUGCUAACUGUAGACAACAUCUUUUUGGAAACUCCAAACCAGAAUUUUUCUAAAGCCAACAGCUGCGGUCCAGAGGCACAGGUUCCACACUGUGGAGUCAGCUGCCCUUGAAGCAACCAUGUCGUACUAAACAUUUGCAGGCUUUUGUUCUUGUCAAGACAACAUUUUAGCUAGUGUUUAUAUUUUAUCAAUGUUGAGUUGGACCUAAAGAGGACUUCAGAUGUUGAAAAAGGAUGUUUCUAGGUUACCUGCAGAUACUUUGCCAUUUUGAUAUUUAAGGACAUCUUGGAAUUAGUCUCCCAAGAAACACUGUGGGGGCUGAGGACUGAACUGAAAAGGAAAACUUCAAUUAAGAUCCUUUUUAUUUGUAAUUUUAUUAAUGAAGAAUUUUUAUUUCAAACAAUUUAAAGAAAAUAUUGAAUAUCUUGUGCUUACUAUUUACUAUGAAACCAUUUUUUUCUAGAUUAUGUUAGUUUGGAUGGUGUUAUAGAGAUGUGUCAACACAUGGGGCUUAGAUGUUGAUUUAAAUACUUUCUGUCCUGUACUCACAUUAAAACGUCACCCUUAACAUGGCUUCCAUAGCUUCACAAAAAAAUUAUCCACAGGUUAUGCAGAAACGUGCCCAUGGCUUUUAAAACUACAGUGGAUUGUUAUGAUAAUAUUUACUAUAUUAGAUGUUGGAUGAUAUCUCAUUGUGGUUUUUACUUAGCUUUUUUUUUUAUAGGUAGUAUUUUAUCCAUUUCUCUAUUAACCAUUUGCAUGCCUUUUGAAGAAUGCAUAAUCAGAUCUUUUGCCCAGUUUUACACAAUAACAUCUGUUUUCUUCUUACUAGUUCAGUUCCUUGAUCUUUGUUGC